UGGGGAAUAUUGCACAAUGGGGGAAACCCUGAUGCAGCGACGCCGCGUGAGUGAAGAAGUAUUUCGGUAUGUAAAGCUCUGUCAGCAGGGAAGAAAAUGACGGUACCUGACCAAGAAGCCCGGCUAACUACGUCGCC
rnacentral:rRNA from 1 species